rnacentral:sRNA from 1 species
UUUAAGUUGCGUUAGGGAUUGCAGCGGCAUCCUUUUAUUGGUUUGAGUUUGCGAAAAUCCAUAAAAGAUAUAGCGGAAAGCCCGACCCUUG